rnacentral:misc_RNA from 1 species
UGAAGCUCAACAUAUUGGCUCCUGCAAUUAGACCAUAAAUGCAGGAAGGCGAAUGCUAAACCAAAGCUCAGACCGCUACUGCGCCACUCUCAGAGCCCUCAAUGCUGCUGGAGGCAGCAAACCAUUGAAAUGUCUUGCCCAUGUUUUCUCACUUGCCCAUUCAGCAAUUUGUUUUUCAAACUGUUCUGCUGUUGCAAUUAUUUGACCAGCCGUUUUAUUUGUACCACCUAAUCAAAUUUUUGACGUUAAACCAGUAUA